CCUACGGGGGGCUGCAGUGGGGAAUAUUGGACAAUGGGGGCAACCCUGAUCCAGCCAUGCCGCGUGUGUGAAGAAGGCCCUCGGGUUGUAAAGCACUUUCAGUGAGGAAGAACGCCUGGUGGUUAAUACCCAUCAGGAAAGACAUCACUCACAGAAGAAGCACCGGCUAACUCCGUGCCAGCAGCCGCGGUAAUACGGAGGGUGCGAGCGUUAAUCGGAAUUACUGGGCGUAAAGCGCGCGUAGGUGGCUUGAUAAGCCGGUUGUGAAAUCCCCGGGCUCAACCUGGGAACGGCAUCCGGAACUGUCAAGCUAGAGUGCAGGAGAGGAAGGUAGAAUUCCCGGUGUAGCGGUGAAAUGCGUAGAGAUCGGGAGGAAUACCAGUGGCGAAGGCGGCCUUCUGGACUGACACUGCCACUGAGGUGCGAAAGCGUGGGUAGCAAACAGGAUUAGAUACCCUAGUAGUC
rnacentral:rRNA from 1 species